rnacentral:rRNA from 1 species
UGGGGAAUAUUGGACAAUGGGCGAAAGCCUGAUCCAGCCAUGCCGCGUGUGUGAAGAAGGUCUUCGGAUUGUAAAGCACUUUAAGUUGGGAGGAAGGGUUGUAGAUUAAUACUCUGCAAUUUUGACGUUACCGACAGAAUAAGCACCGGCUAACUCUGUGCCAGCAGCCGCGGUAAUACAGAGGGUGCAAGCGUUAAUCGGAAUUACUGGGCGUAAAGCGCGCGUAGGUGGUUUGUUAAGUUGGAUGUGAAAUCCCCGGGCUCAACCUGGGAACUGCAUCCAAAACUGGCAAGCUAGAGUAUGGUAGAGGGUGGUGGAAUUUCCUGUGUAGCGGUGAAAUGCGUAGAUAUAGGAAGGAACACCAGUGGCGAAGGCGACCACCUGGACUGAUACUGACACUGAGGUGCGAAAGCGUGGGGAGCAAACAGGAUUAGAUACCCGUGUAGUCCCUGAGCGGGCUGGCAAGGCGCAU